rnacentral:rRNA from 1 species
GGUUAAGCGACUAAGCGUACACGGUGGAUGCCCUGGCAGUCAGAGGCGAUGAAGGACGUGCUAAUCUGCGAAAAGCGCCGGCGAGGUGAUAUGAACCCUUGACCCGGCGAUGUCCGAAUGGGGAAACCCAGUGCAAUCCGUUGCACUAUCGUUAACUGAAUACAUAGGUUAACGAGGCGAACCGGGGGAACUGAAACAUCUAAGUACCCCGAGGAAAAGAAAUCAACCGAGAUUCCCCCAGUAGCGGCGAGCGAACGGGGAGCAGCCCAGAGUCUGAAUCAGCUUGUGUGUUAGUGGAAGCGUCUGGAAAGUCGCACGGUACAGGGUGAAAGUCCCGUACACGAAAGCACACAGGCUGUGAACUCGAAGAGUAGGGCGGGACACGUGGUAUCCUGUCUGAAUAUGGGGGGACCAUCCUCCAAGGCUAAAUACUCCUGACUGACCGAUAGUGAACCAGUACCGUGAGGGAAAGGCGAAAAGAACCCCGGCGAGGGGAGUGAAAAAGAACCUGAAACCGUGUACGUACAAGCAGUGGGAGCACCUUCGGGUGUGACUGCGUACCUUUUGUAUAAUGGGUCAGCGACUUAUAUUCUGUAGCAAGGUUAACCGUAUAGGGGAGCCGAAGGGAAACCGAGUCUUAACUGGGCGUUAAGUUGCAGGGUAUAGACCCGAAACCCGGUGAUCUAGCCAUGGGCAGGUUGAAGGUUGGGUAACACUAACUGGAGGACCGAACCGACUAAUGUUGAAAAAUUAGCGGAUGACCUGUGGCUGGGGGUGAAAGGCCAAUCAAACCGGGAGAUAGCUGGUUCUCCCCGAAAGCUAUUUAGGUAGCGCCUCGUGAACUCAUCUUCGGGGGUAGAGCACUGUUUCGGCUAGGGGGCCAUCCCGGCUUACCAACCCGAUGCAAACUACGAAUACCGAAGAAUGUUAUCACGGGAGACACACGGCGGGUGCUAACGUCCGUCGUGAAGAGGGAAACAACCCAGACCGCCAGCUAAGGUCCCAAAGUCAUGGUUAAGUGGGAAACGAUGUGGGAAGGCCCAGACAGCCAGGAUGUUGGCUUAGAAGCAGCCAUCAUUUAAAGAAAGCGUAAUAGCUCACUGGUCGAGUCGGCCUGCGCGGAAGAUGUAACGGGGCUAAACCAUGCACCGAAGCUGCGGCAGCGACGCUUAUGCGUUGUUGGGUAGGGGAGCGUUCUGUAAGCCGUUGAAGGUGGCCUGUGAGGGUUGCUGGAGGUAUCAGAAGUGCGAAUGCUGACAUAAGUAACGAUAAAGCGGGUGAAAAGCCCGCUCGCCGGAAGACCAAGGGUUCCUGUCCAACGUUAAUCGGGGCAGGGUGAGUCGACCCCUAAGGCGAGGCCGAAAGGCGUAGUCGAUGGGAAACAGGUUAAUAUUCCUGUACUUGGUGUUACUGCGAAGGGGGGACGGAGAAGGCUAUGUUAGCCGGGCGACGGUUGUCCCGGUUUAAGCAUGUAGGCGGAGGUUCCAGGUAAAUCCGGUACCUUUUAACGCUGAGGUGUGAUGACGAGGCACUACGGUGCUGAAGUAACAAAUGCCCUGCUUCCAGGAAAAGCCUCUAAGCAUCAGGUAACACGAAAUCGUACCCCAAACCGACACAGGUGGUCAGGUAGAGAAUACCAAGGCGCUUGAGAGAACUCGGGUGAAGGAACUAGGCAAAAUGGUGCCGUAACUUCGGGAGAAGGCACGCUGAUAUGUAGGUGAAGCCCCUGCGGGUGGAGCUGAAAUCAGUCGAAGAUACCAGCUGGCUGCAACUGUUUAUUAAAAACACAGCACUGUGCAAACACGAAAGUGGACGUAUACGGUGUGACGCCUGCCCGGUGCCGGAAGGUUAAUUGAUGGGGUUAGCGGUAACGCGAAGCUCUUGAUCGAAGCCCCGGUAAACGGCGGCCGUAACUAUAACGGUCCUAAGGUAGCGAAAUUCCUUGUCGGGUAAGUUCCGACCUGCACGAAUGGCGUAAUGAUGGCCAGGCUGUCUCCACCCGAGACUCAGUGAAAUUGAACUCGCUGUGAAGAUGCAGUGUACCCGCGGCAAGACGGAAAGACCCCGUGAACCUUUACUAUAGCUUGACACUGAACACUGGUCCUUGAUGUGUAGGAUAGGUGGGAGGCUUUGAAGCGUGGACGCCAGUCUGCGUGGAGCCGUCCUUGAAAUACCACCCUUUAAUGGCUGGUGUUCUAACGUAGACCCGUAAUCCGGGUUGCGGACAGUGUCUGGUGGGUAGUUUGACUGGGGCGGUCUCCUCCCAAAGAGUAACGGAGGAGCACGAAGGUUAGCUAAUCCUGGUCGGACAUCAGGAGGUUAGUGCAAUGGCAUAAGCUAGCUUGACUGCGAGAGUGACGGCUCGAGCAGGUGCGAAAGCAGGUCAUAGUGAUCCGGUGGUUCUGAAUGGAAGGGCCAUCGCUCAACGGAUAAAAGGUACUCCGGGGAUAACAGGCUGAUACCGCCCAAGAGUUCAUAUCGACGGCGGUGUUUGGCACCUCGAUGUCGGCUCAUCACAUCCUGGGGCUGAAGUAGGUCCCAAGGGUAUGGCUGUUCGCCAUUUAAAGUGGUACGCGAGCUGGGUUUAGAACGUCGUGAGACAGUUCGGUCCCUAUCUGCCGUGGGCGCUGGAGAAUUGAGGGGGGCUGCUCCUAGUACGAGAGGACCGGAGUGGACGCAUCACUGGUGUUCGGGUUGUCAUGCCAAUGGCACUGCCCGGUAGCUAAAUGUGGAAGAGAUAAGUGCUGAAAGCAUCUAAGCACGAAACUUGCCCCGAGAUGAGUUCUCCCUGAGACUUAAAGUCUCCUGAAGGAACGUUAAAGACGAUGACGUUGAUAGGUCGGGUGUGUAAGCGCAGCGAUGCGUUGAGCUAACCGAUACUAAUGAACCGUGAGGCUUAACCUU